rnacentral:rRNA from 1 species
AUUGAACGCUGGCGGCAGGCCUAACACAUGCAAGUCGAGCGAGCGGCGGACGGGUGAGUAAUGUAUGGGGACUGCCCGAUAGAGGGGGAUAACUACUGGAAACGGUGGCUCAUACUGCAUACUAUCGGAUAACCCAUAUGGGAUUAGCCAGUAGGUGGGGUAAAGGCUCACCUGGGCGACGAUCUCUAGCUGGUCUGAGAGGAUGAUCAGCCACACUGGGACUGUGAAACGGCCCAGACUCCUACGGAGGCAGCAGAUGGGAAUAUUGCGCAAUGGGCGCAAGCCUGAUGGAGCCAUGCCGCGUGUAUGAAGAAGGCAUUAGGGUUGUAAAGUACUUUCAGCGGGGAGGCGUUACCCGAAGAAGAAGCACCGGCUAACUCCGUGCCAGCAGCCGCGGUAAUAC